AACUGUGUACUCUGUCACUAUCAGAUCUGAUAUGUGUGCACUGUAUUACAUCACUUCCCUCUGUCACUGUCAGACCUGAUCUGUGCACUGCCUUACAUCACUUUCCUCUGUCACUGUCAGACCUGAUGUAUGCACUGUAUUACAUCACUUCCCUCUGUCACUGUCAGACCUGGUGUGUACACUCUGUUACAUCACUUCCCUCUCUGCUGACAGACCUGAUGUACGUGCACUGUAUUGCAUCACUGCCUUCUGUCACCGUCAGACCUGGUGUGUGCACUGUAUUACAUCACUGCCCUCUCUGUCACUGUCGGACCUGAUGUGUGCACUGCUUUACAUCACUUCCCUCUCUGCUGACAGACCUGGUGUGUGCACUGUAUUACAUCACUUCCCUCUGUCACUGUCAGACCUGAUGUGUGCACUGUAUUACAUCACUGCCCUCUGUCACCAUCAGACCUAGUAUGUGCACUGUAUUAUAUCACUUACCCUUCCCUUUACUCCCCAAGUCCUCCCAAUUCUUCCCACUCCUUGUCACACUCAGAGCCUCUUUUUCUUCCAUUGUUCUCCACACACAAAUUAAUAAGUACAACCUACUGAGUCCAUUUAGUGGCACUCCUUGGGACUGUGAACACUAGUCUUUAGAAAGGAGGCUUCCAGAUAAAUCCAAUUCCGUUUUUCUAACUCUUGAGUCUAAGCUCAUGGGGUCUUCAGCAGUGGGAAUUUAUGCAGCUUCUGGAAGCAAGCAGGGCUAUGGCGAUGGCGACGGUCCAUAUUAUUUUGGGAAUUGCUUGGGUUCCUCUGACCAACAACUUACAAG
rnacentral:lncRNA from 1 species